rnacentral:lncRNA from 1 species
CCUGUCAGAAAAUAAUGAGCGAUCCGAAGAAUAUGAUGGUUGAGUCCCAUUAAUACCUACUCUUGGAUCUUGAUAUUACACCACGGGAAAGCCAACUCUUUGGUAAGCAUCAUUUGAAUGAUUAUUGUUUGAAGAAUGUCCAUUUUCCACAGUAAUGGAGCUUCCUUUAUUCAUUACUGAUGUAGGGACAUGUUCAGCGGUAACAUCAAUUGAAGUUUUCCCUCCAUGACCAUUUAUUUUGUUAGCACCAUAUGUUCCAUUGGCAGAAGCUGGAGGAUGAUUUGGCAUAUUAUUUGGAAU